GCCCCCACCCCCAAACUGGUUUAUCGCAAGUUAUACUGAACAUCUCCCAAGUCGUUGCUUUUCCUUGAUCUUCUCACUUCGUUGGAAUAUUGUGGCAUGUAAAAUUUUCAAGGGACAACGAUACACCAAUAGGCUGGUCGAAAAGCUAAUUACUGUGCUUUGAUGGAGAUCACAUGUGAAAGAC